GACGGGGGGUCCUAGCGUUGUUCGGAAUCAUUGGGCGUAAAGCGAGUGCAGGUGGUUUAGAAAGUUGGAUGUGAAAUCCUUGGGCUUAACCCAAGACGUGCAUUCAAAACUUCUAAACUUGAAUAUGGAAGAGGGUCGUGGAAUUCCAGGUGUAGUGGUGAAAUACGUAGAUAUCUGGAGGAACACCGGUGGCGAAGGCGGCGACCUGGUCCAAUAUUGACACUCAUACUCGAAAGCGUGGGGAUCAAACAGG
rnacentral:rRNA from 1 species